rnacentral:rRNA from 1 species
CCUACGGGGGGCAGCAGUGAGGAAUAUUGGUCAAUGGACGAGAGUCUGAACCAGCCAAGUAGCGUGAAGGAUGACUGCCCUAUGGGUUGUAAACUUCUUUUAUAUGGGAAUAAAAUGUUCCACGUGUGGGAUUUUGUAUGUACCAUAUGAAUAAGGAUCGGCUAACUCCGUGCCAGCAGCCGAGGUAAUACGGAGGAUCCGAGCGUUAUCCGGAUUUAUUGGGUUUAAAGGGAGCGUAGGUGGAUUGUUAAGUCAGUUGUGAAAGUUUGCGGCUCAACCGUAAAAUUGCAGUUGAAACUGGCAGUCUUGAGUACAGUAGAGGUGGGCGGAAUUCGUGGUGUAGCGGUGAAAUGCUUAGAUAUCACGAAGAACUCCGAUUGCGAAGGCAGUUCACUGGACUGCAACUGACACUGAGGCUCGAAAGUGUGGGUAUCAAACAGGAUUAGAUACCCGAGUAGUC